UACGUAGGGGGCAAGCGUUAUCCGGAUUUACUGGGUGUAAAGGGAGCGUAGACGGUAAGACAAGUCUGAAGUGAAAUCCCGCGGCUCAACCGCGGAACUGCUUUGGAAACUGUUUUACUAGAGUGCAGGAGAGGUAAGUGGAAUUCCUAGUGUAGCGGUGAAAUGCGUAGAUAUUAGGAGGAACACCGGUGGCGAAGGCGGCUUACUGGACUGUAACUGACGUUGAGGCUCGAAAGCGUGGGGAG
rnacentral:rRNA from 1 species